rnacentral:rRNA from 1 species
GACGAACGCUGGCGGCGUGCCUAAUACAUGCAAGUAGAACGCACAGUUUAUACCGUAGCUUGCUACACCAUAGACUGUGAGUUGCGAACGGGUGAGUAACGCGUAGGUAACCUGCCUGGUAGCGGGGGAUAACUAUUGGAAACGAUAGCUAAUACCGCAUAAUAUUGAUUAUUGCAUGAUAAUUAAUUGAAAGGUGCAAUUGCACCACUACCAGAUGGACCUGCGUUGUAUUAGCUAGUAGGUGAGGUAACGGCUCACCUAGGCGACGAUACAUAGCCGACCUGGGGGGGUGAUCGGCCAAACUGGGACUGGGACACGGGCCAGACUCCUACGGGGGGGAGCAGUAGGGAAUCUUCGGCAAUGGAGGAAAGUCUGACCGAGCAAAGCCGCGUGAGUGAAGAAGGUUUUCGGAUCGUAAAGCUCUGUUGUAAGAGAAGGACGGGUGUGAGAGUGGAAAGUUCACACUGUGACGGUAUCUUACCAGAAAGGGACGGCUAACUACGUG